rnacentral:tRNA from 1 species
UGGGGGAUGGUGUAACGGUAGCACGUGGCGCUCUGACCGCCCCAGUCCAGGUUCGAAUCCUGGUCCCCCAG